GUUGUAUAGUCAAGUAAUUAAGUGCAUGUGGUGGAUGCCUUGGCAGUCAGAGGCGAUGAAAGACGUGAUAGCCUGCGAAAAGCUCCGGGGAGGCGGCAAAUAUCCUUUGAUCCGGAGAUGUCUGAAUGGGGGAACCCACCUACUUUAAGGUAGGUAUUGCAACAUGAAUACAUAGUGUUGCAAGGCGAACGAGGGGAAGUGAAACAUCUCAGUACCCUUAGGAAAAGAAAUCAAUUGAGAUUCCCUCAGUAGCGGCGAGCGAACGGGGAUCAGCCCAUUAAGUUAUGUGUGUUUUAGUGGAACGCUCUGGGAAGUGCGAACGUAGAGGGUGAUAUUCCCGUACACGAAAGGGCACACAUAAUGAUGACGAGUAGGGCGAGGCACGUGAAACCUUGUCUGAAUAUGGGGGGACCAUCCUCCAAGGCUAAAUACUCCUGACUGACCGAUAGUGAACCAGUACCGUGAGGGAAAGGCGAAAAGAACCCCUGUGAGGGGAGUGAAAUAGAUCCUGAAACCGCAUGCAUACAAGCAGUGGGAGCACCUUCGUGGUGUGACUGCGUACCUUUUGUAUAAUGGGUCAGCGACUUAUAUUCAGUAGCGAGGUUAACCGUAUAGGGGAGCCGUAGAGAAAUCGAGUCUUAAUAGGGCGUUUAGUUGCUGGGUAUAGACCCGAAACCAGGCGAUCUAUCCAUGAGCAGGUUGAAGGUUGGGUAACACUAACUGGAGGACCGAACCCACUGUCGUUGAAAAGCCAGGGGAUGACUUGUGGAUAGGGGUGAAAGGCUAAUCAAGCCUGGUGAUAGCUGGUUCUCCCCGAAAGCUAUUUAGGUAGCGCCUCGGACGAAUACCAUAGGGGGUAGAGCACUGUUUCGGCUAGGGGGUCAUCCCGACUUACCAAACCGAUGCAAACUCCGAAUACCUAUGAGUACUAUCCGGGAGACAGACUGCGGGUGCUAACGUCCGUAGUCAAGAGGAAAACAAUCCAGACCGCCAGCUAAGGCCCCAAAAUCAUAGUUAAGUGGGAAACGAUGUGGGAAGGCAUAGACAGCUAGGAGGUUGGCUUAGAAGCAGCCACCCUUUAAAGAAAGCGUAAUAGCUCACUAGUCGAGUCGGCCUGCGCGGAAGAUGUAACGGGGCUAAAACUAUGUGCCGAAGCUGCGGAUGUAUACUUUGUAUACGUGGUAGGGGAGCGUUCUGUAAGCCGAUGAAGGUGUGUUGAGAAGCAUGCUGGAGGUAUCAGAAGUGCGAAUGCUGACGUGAGUAACGACAAAACGGGUGAAAAACCCGUUCGCCGAAAGACCAAGGGUUCCAGUCCAACGUUAAUCGGGGCUGGGUGAGUCGACCCCUAAGGCGAGGCCGAAAGGCGUAGUCGAUGGGAAAAUGGUUAAUAUUCCAUUACUUCUGUGUAAUGCGAUGAGAGGACGGAGAAGGCUAAAUCAGCCUGGCGUUGGUUGUCCAGGUGAAAGGAUGUAGGCAUGUAUCUUAGGCAAAUCCGGGGUACUCUAUGCUGAGAUCUGAUAGCAAGCUGUACUUGUACAGCGAAGUGGUUGAUGCCAUGCUUCCAGGAAAAGUCUCUAAGCUUCAGUUACACAGGAAUCGUACCCGAAACCGACACAGGUGGUCAGGUCGAGUAGACCAAGGCGCUUGAGAGAACUCUGCUGAAGGAACUAGGCAAAAUGGUACCGUAACUUCGGGAGAAGGUACGCUGUUGUUGGUGAUGGAACUCGCUUCCUGAGCUGACGACAGCCGCAGAAACCAGGCCGCUGCAACUGUUUAUUAAAAACAUAGCACUCUGCAAACACGAAAGUGGACGUAUAGGGUGUGAUGCCUGCCCGGUGCUGGAAGGUUAAUUGAUGGGGUUAGCGUAAGCGAAGCUCUUGAUCGAAGCCCCAGUAAACGGCGGCCGUAACUAUAACGGUCCUAAGGUAGCGAAAUUCCUUGUCGGGUAAGUUCCGACCUGCACGAAUGGCAUAAUGAUGGCGGCGCUGUCUCCAGCAGAGGCUCAGUGAAAUCGAAAUCGCUGUGAAGAUGCAGUGUACCCGCGGCUAGACGGAAAGACCCCGUGAACCUUUACUGCAGCUUGACACUGAACUUUGACCUUACUUGUGUAGGAUAGGUGGGAGGCUUUGAAGCUGGAACGCUAGUUCCAGUGGAGCCGUCCUUGAAAUACCACCCUGGUAAUGUUGAGGUUCUAACUCUGUCCCGUGAUCCGGGACGAGGACCGUGUCUGGUGGGUAGUUUGACUGGGGCGGUCUCCUCCUAAAGAGUAACGGAGGAGUACGAAGGUGCGCUCAGCGUGGUCGGAAAUCACGCGUAGAGUAUAAAGGCAAAAGCGCGCUUAACUGCGAGACCCACAAGUCGAGCAGGUACGAAAGUAGGUCUUAGUGAUCCGGUGGUUCUGUAUGGAAGGGCCAUCGCUCAACGGAUAAAAGGUACUCUGGGGAUAACAGGCUGAUACCGCCCAAGAGUUCAUAUCGACGGCGGUGUUUGGCACCUCGAUGUCGGCUCAUCUCAUCCUGGGGCUGAAGCAGGUCCCAAGGGUAUGGCUGUUCGCCAUUUNNNNNNNNNNNNNNNNNGGGUUUAGAACGUCGUGAGACAGUUCGGUCCCUAUCUACCGUGGGCGCUGGAAAUUUGAGAGGAUCUGCUCCUAGUACGAGAGGACCAGAGUGGACGAACCUCUGGUGUACCGGUUGUGACGCCAGUCGCAUCGCCGGGUAGCUAUGUUCGGAAGGGAUAACCGCUGAAAGCAUCUAAGCGGGAAGCCUACCUCAAGAUAAGAUUUCCCUAGGACUUUAUGUCCUCUAAAGAGCCGUUCGAGACUAGGACGUUGAUAGGUUGGAUGUGGAAGCAUAGUGAUAUGUGAAGCUGACCAAUACUAAUUGCUCGUGAGGCUUGACUAUACAACACCCAAGCAGUUG
rnacentral:rRNA from 1 species